rnacentral:ncRNA from 2 species
ACCGCACGCUAGGGGUGCCUUCGAGGCUGAGAACGAGCCGGGAUUAGCGGUUCGUACCCUUGCGAACUUGAACCGGGUAAUGCCGGCGGAAGGAAGCGACGGUGUCUGGGG